rnacentral:tRNA from 2 species
AAAAAGUUAGUUAAUUUAUAACAUAAAUUUGUCAAAUUUAAGUUACUAUUUUAUAGUACUUUUUA